CACUUAAGGCACGGUUACGGUUCUCUUCGCUGUCCUUCGCGAGUUUAAAUCGACGAGAAUUCCGUGACCGGUCCUAGGUGUG